GGAGGGUGCGAGCGUUAAUCGGAAUUACUGGGCGUAAAGCGCGCGUAGGCGGCUUGGUCAGUCGGAUGUGAAAGCCCCGGGCUUAACCUGGGAAUUGCAUUCGAUACUGCCAGACUAGAGUAUGGGAGAGGGAAGCGGAAUUUCCGGUGUAGCGGUGAAAUGCGUAGAUAUCGGAAGGAACACCAGUGGCGAAGGCGGCUUCCUGGCCCAAUACUGACGCUGAGGUGCGAAAGCGUGGGGAGCAAACAGGGGAUUAGAUACCCGUGGUAGUCCACGCCGUAAACGAUGAGAACUAGAUGUCGGGAGGAUUUGCCUCUCGGUGUCGCAGCUAACGCGUUAAGUUCUCCGCCUGGGGAUACGCCGGCAAACGGUA
rnacentral:rRNA from 1 species